UUGACCUCGGAUCAGGUAGGGAUACCCGCUGAACUUAAGCAUAUCAAAAGCCGGAGGA
rnacentral:rRNA from 1 species